rnacentral:rRNA from 1 species
UACGGGGGGGGCAAGCGUUGUUCGGAAUUACUGGGCGUAAAGGGCUCGUAGGCGGCCAACUAAGUCGGACGUGAAAUCCCCAGGCUCAACCUGGGAACUGCGUCCGAUACUGGAUGGCUUGAAUCCGGGAGAGGGAUGCAGAAUUCCAGGUGUAGCGGUGAAAUGCGUAGAUAUCUGGAGGAAUACCGGUGGCGAAGGCGGCAUCCUGGACCGGCAUUGACGCUGAGGAGCGAAGGUCAGGGGAGCAAACGGG